CCCUUAGAUGUCCUGGGCCGCACGCGCGUUACACUGAUGCAUUCAACGAGCUUAUAACCUUGGCCGAGAGGCCUGGGCAAUCUUGUUAACGUGCAUCGUGAUAGGGAUAGAUUAUUGAAAUUAUUAAUCUUGAACGAGGAAUUCCUAGUAAACGCAGAUCAUCAAUCUGCAUUGAUUACGUCCCUGCCCUUUGUACACACCGCCCGUCGCUACUACCGAUUGAAUGGUUUAGUGAGAUCUUCGGAUUGGCGCCACUGCGGCUCAGCAAUGGGCUCGGUGGAUGCCGAAAAGUUGAUCAAACUUGAUCAUUUAGAGGAAGUAAAAGUCGUAACA
rnacentral:rRNA from 1 species